CACAGAUGUCAUAGUGCCUGUGAGAGACAAACACAUCUUGUGCACUAAACCGGGCUGUCCAAUUAUUAGAGCACUCCCAUUCUCACUGUGCCACUGUGGCAUUUUGGAGGAUGCAGCUGAAUAUACUUCACAGUGUUUGGUAAUGAUUGGAGCAUGUAUGGGAGCCGGAUGGGUGAGAAGACUGACAUGAGGCACAACUGGAGUUAUACGGUGCUGACUCUGUGGGUGCUUAGCAACGACCGGCAGCCAGCUCUCCCCUCACCCCAAGCGCCUCACAUCCUCUGGUGGCCCCACCGAUCAACUCCUCCC